rnacentral:tRNA from 1 species
AGGAUUAUAGCUCAGUGAUAGAGUGCUUGCCUUGCAUGCAUGAGGCCUUGAGUUUGAUCCUC